GACGUAGGGCGCAAGCGUUUGUCCGGAUUUAUUGGGCGUAAAGAGCUCGUAGGCGGCUCGUUGCGUCGGCUGUGAAAACCCGCAGCUUAACUGUGGGCCUGCAGCCGAUACGGGCGGGCUGGAGUUCGGUAGGGGAGACUGGAAUUCCUGGUGUAGCGGUGAAAUGCGCAGAUAUCAGGAGGAACACCGGUGGCGAAGGCGGGUCUCUGGGCCGUAACUGACGCUGAGGAGCGAAAGCGUGGGGAGCAAACAGG
rnacentral:rRNA from 1 species